AGCUUUUUAAAUGUAAAUGAAGAAAAUAUCUAAUAAAAAUUGAAAUAUAAAAAAACAUACUGGAGAAAAAUCUAUGAAUGUAAUCAAUGUGGUAAAGCCUUUUCACAAUUCAGUAGUCUCCAAUUUUAUAAAAGUACAUAUACUGGAGGGAAACCCUAUGAAUGUAAUCAAUGUGGUAAAGCUUUUGCAGGUCACAGUCAUCUCCAAUAUCAUAAAAGAAUCCAUAAUGGAGAGAAACCUUAGAAAUGUAAUCAAUGUUAUAAAAGCCUUUUCACAGUUAUUGUCUCUAUAAUCAUAAAAGAAUCCAUAUUCGAUAGAAACCUUAUGAAUGUCGUCAGUGUGCUAAAGCCUUUGUAUAUCCCACUCGUCUUCAAAACAUAAAAGAUUCCACACUGGAAAGAAACCUCAUGAAUGCAAUCAAUGUGGUAAAGACUUUUUAAAACUCUAUAGUCUCCAUUAUUUUCAAAGAACACAUAGAAGACAGAAACCUUUGGAAGGUAAUCGGUGUUGUAAAGCAUUUGAUGUCACGAUCAUCUAUGAUGACUUAAAGAUCACAUACAAGUGAGAACCCAUGUGAAUGUUAUGAACGUAGUAAAGCCUUUGUAUGUCAUAGUUCUUUAGGCACACACAAGACAAACCACACUGCAGAGAAACCCCAAUUUAAAUGUUUGCUUUUCUGAGAGUUGGUUUGGUCAUGAGAUCUGUUCCUAGCCAUUGAAAAGCUGAGGAAGAAACCCUCUGAGUAUAUUUAAUAUGGUAAAGCCUUUGCACAAUUUUGUAGUCAUUUUCAUCAUGGAAGAUUUUGAACUGGGUAGAAACAUUGUGAAUCUAUUUAGUAUGGUGAAAACUUUUUCAUUGAACUUCUUUUUUCGUAUAUUUUUCUUUUUAUGAGAAUAUUCAUGCUGGAGACAGAUGCUAUGAAUAUCAGCAGUGUGGUAAAGCUUUUAAGUUGUUGGGUCCACUGAUGUUCAACACAACUCACACUCCAGGACAAUGCAAAGGAUAAGAAUUUAUUGGGCUGGGUGGUGGUGGCGCACUCCUUUAAUCCUAGCACUCUGGAGGUAGAUGCAGGCAGAUAUCUGAGUUCAAGUCCCAACUAGUAUAGAGUGCGUUCCAGGACAGCCAGGGCUGUCUUGGAAACAUACUCAGAAGUUUGUCUUCAAAACCCCACCGCUCAUACCCAACCUGAGACAGAAAGUUAUAUAGCUUUCAGACACAAAAGCCUCAAAGUCCUAGGCCAAUUUACAGCUACGUUUUCUCCCAAAUCAAAACUUGUUUUUAUUGAAUGAGUCAAUAAAUGGUGAUUGCUAACUCCUUGUAUUUGGUUGUUGUUGUUGCAGCUGCGGGUGGUGUUGGUGUUGCGCUGUGUGUGUGCUUUCCCUUCUUUUGUAGAUAGUAAGAGAUUAUUUACUACCUGUGUUUUCAUGUAUAUCCUUAACUUCCUCCGGUUAGAUUCUACCUCUAUCUCUUUGUGUUGGUCAGUA
rnacentral:lncRNA from 1 species